GCACAAGCGGUGGAGCAUGUGGUUUAAUUCGAUGCAACGCGAAGAACCUUACCUGGCCUUGACAUGUCGAGAAUCCCGAAGAGAUUUGGGAGUGCCGCAAGGAACUCGAACACAGGUGCUGCAUGGCUGUCGUCAGCUCGUGUCGUGAGAUGUUGGGUUAAGUCCCGCAACGAGCGCAACCCUUGUCCUUAGUUGCCAGCAUUAAGUUGGGCACUCUAAGGAGACCGCCGGUGACAAACCGGAGGAAGGUGGGGAUGACGUCAAGUCCUCAUGGCCCUUACACCCUGGGCUACACACGUGCUACAAUGGCGGUGACAGUGGGCAGCUACUUCGCGAGAAGCGGCUAAUCCCAAAAAACCGCCCCAGUUCAGAUUGUACUCUGCAACUCGAGUACAUGAAGGUGGAAUCGCUAGUAAUCGCAGAACAGCAGGCUGCGGUGAAUACGUUCCCGGGC
rnacentral:rRNA from 1 species